rnacentral:rRNA from 1 species
ACACGACUACAUUAGAUACCCUGUAGUCCUAGCCGUAAACGAUACUCGCUAGGUGUCGGCCACGGUGCGACCGUUGUCGGUGCCGUAGGGAAGCCGUGAAGCGAGCCACCUGGGAAGUACGGCCGCAAGGCUGAAACUUAAAGGAAUUGGCGGGGGAGCACAACAACGGGUGGAGCUUGCGGUUUAAUUGGGUUCAACGCCGGAAAUCUUACCGGGACCGACAGCAACAUGAAGGCCAAGCUGAAGACUUUGCCGGAUUAGCUG